rnacentral:rRNA from 1 species
CCUACGGGAGGCAGCAGUGAGGAAUAUUGGUCAAUGGGCGUAAGCCUGAACCAGCCAAGUCGCGUGAGGGAUGAAGGUUCUAUGGAUCGUAAACCUCUUUUAUAAGGGAAUAAAGUGAGGGACGUGUCCCGUUUUGCAUGUACCUCAUGAAUAAGGAUCGGCUAAUUCCGUGCCAGCAGCCGCGGUAAUACGGAGGAUCCGAGCGUUAUCCGGAUUUAUUGGGUUUAAAGGGUGCGUAGGCGGCCGUUUAAGCCAGCGGUGAAAGUACGUGGCUCAACCGUGGAAUUGCCGUUGAAACUGGGAGGCUUGAGUGUGUGGGAGGUAGGCGGAAUGCGUGGUGUAGCGGUGAAAUGCUUAGAUAUCACGCAGAACCCCGAUUGCGAAGGCAGCCUGCCGAGCCAUGACUGACGCUGAUGCACGAAAGCGUGGGGAUCAAACAGGAUUAGAUACCCCAGUAGUC